UAAUUAUCAACCUAAUGUUAUUAGGAUUGGACUUGGGAUUUGCUGGCUUUGAGUAGUCAGCUAUCCUUAAAUGCAUAAGUCUUUGACGUGCACGGCCUGUCUUUGGUGAUAAAUGAUCCAUUGGUCCGGGCUGGAAGCGUCAAUUCAUGGCACGGCCUGUUAUAGGGCUGGAAGUGUACAAUUUGA
rnacentral:misc_RNA from 1 species